AAAGGUGGGCAACGAUAAGCAUGGACCACCCACCUUUUUAUUUAUUUAUUUAUUUGGGAUCUUGAUUGGAAACACCUGCCCAACACUGUCGGUUGUUUCCGAUUGUCCUCGGAGUAGGAUCCCACCAAAGAGAGAUCCAACCAGCGAGAAGAAAUGAAGAAGAAGAAGGGCAUAGGAAGAUCCGUCCCUCCUCUUCUAGGAUUUUUAUGUUUGUUUGAUCAGAUCCUUAGAUCCGGUCAUAAACCAUCAUCCCCCUC
rnacentral:lncRNA from 1 species